AUUGAACGCUGGCGGCAGGCCUAACACAUGCAAGUCGAGCGGAUGAAGGGAGCUUGCUCCUGGCUUCAGCGGCGGACGGGUGAGUAAUGCCUAGGAAUCUGCCUGGUAGUGGGGGAUAACGUCCGGAAACGGGCGCUAAUACCGCAUACGUCCUGAGGGAGAAAGUGGGGGAUCUUCGGACCUCACGCUAUCAGAUGAGCCUAGGUCGGAUUAGCUAGUUGGUGGGGUAAAGGCCUACCAAGGCGACGAACCGUAACUGGUCUGAGAGGAUGAUCAGUCACACUGGAACUGAGACACGGUCCAGACUCCUACGGGAGGCAGCAGUGGGGAAUAUUGGACAAUGGGCGAAAGCCUGAUCCAGCCAUGCCGCGUGUGUGAAGAAGGUCUUCGGAUUGUAAAGCACUUUAAGUUGGGAGGAAGGGCAGUAAGUUAAUACCUUGCUGUUUUGACGUUACCAACAGAAUAAGCACCGGCUAACUUCGUG
rnacentral:rRNA from 1 species